rnacentral:lncRNA from 1 species
UUUUGGGCGCGGGUGUGCCCGUGGCCUAUUUUUGGCACACGGAGGCCGCCCGCAAAGUCUGGGGCCAUUCCGAGUCCGGCGGACGAACUUCGCCCACGUCCCCCACCAAGGCUAUAGCCCACCCAUUUUUUGGCCAUUUUUCCGCUGGGGGGUCUUGGCGCCCCGACCUUCGGGGGCUGAAUUUUGGGCGCGGGUGUGCCCGUGGCCUAUUUUUGGCACACGGAGGCCGCCCGCAAAGUCUGGGGCCAUUCCGAGUCCGGCGGACGAACUUCGCCCACGUCCCCCACCAAGGCUAUAGCCCACCCAUUUUUUGGCCAUUUUUCCGCUGGGGGGUCUUGGCGCCCCGACCUUCGGGGGCUGAAUUUUGGGCGCGGGUGUGCCCGUGGCCUAUUUUUGGCACACGGAGGCCGCCCGCAAAGUCUGGGGCCAUUCCUAGUCCGGCGGACGAACUUCGCCCACGCCCCCUACCAAGGCUAUAGCCCACCCGUUUUUUGGCCAUUUUUCCGCUGGGGGGUCUUGGCGCCCCGACCUUCGGGGGCUGAAUUUUGGGCGCGGGUGUGCCCGUGGCCUAUUUUUGGCACACGGAGGCCGCCCGCAAAGUCUGGGGCCAUUCCGAGUCCGGCGGACGAGCUUCGCCCACGCCCCCCACCAAGGCUAUAGCCCACCCGUUUUUUGGCCAUUUUUCCGCUGGGGGGUCUUGGCGCCCCGACCUUCGGGGGCUUAAUUUUGGGCGCGGGUGUGCCCGUGGCCUAUUGUUGGCACACGGAGGCCGCCCGCAAAGUCUGGGGCCAUUCCGAGUCCGGCGGACGAACUUCGCCCACGUCCCCCACCAAGGCUAUAGCCCACCCAUUUUUUGGCCAUUUUUCCGCUGGGGGGUCUUGGCGCCCCGACCUUCGGGGGCUGAUUUUUGGGCGCGGGUGUGCCCGUGGCCUAUUUUUGGCACACGGAGGCCGCCCGCAAAGUCUGGGGCCAUUCCGAGUCCGGCGGACGAACUUCGCCCACGCCCCCCACCAAGGCUAUAGCCCACCCGUUUUUUGGCCAUUUUUCCGCUGGGGGGUCUUGGCGCCCCGACCUUCGGGGGCUGAUUUUUGGGCGCGGGUGUGCCCGUGGCCUAUUUUUGGCACACGGAGGCCGCCCGCAAAGUCUGGGGCCAUUCCGAGUCCGGCGGACGAGCUUCGCCCACGCCCCCCACCAAGGCUAUAGCCCACCCGUUUUUUGGCCAUUUUUCCGCUGGGGGGUCUUGGCGCCCCGACCUUCGGGGGCUGAUUUUUGGGCGCGGGUGUGCCCGUGGCCUAUUUUUUGCACACGGAGGCCGCCCGCAAAGUCUGGGGCCAUUCCGAGUCCGGCGGACGAACUUCGCCCACGCCCCCCACCAAGGCUAUAGCCCACCCGUUUUUUGGCCAUUUUUCCGCUGGGGGGUCUUGGCUCCCCGACCUUCGGGGGCUGAUUUUUGGGCGCGGGUGUGCCCGUGGCCUAUUUUUGGCACACGGAGGCCGCCCGCAAAGUCUGGGGCCAUUCCGAGUCCGGCGGACGAACUUCGCCCACGCCCCCCACCAAGGCUAUAGCCCACCCGUUUUUUGGCCAUUUUUCCGCUGGGGGGUCUUGGCGCCCCGACCUUCGGGGGCUGAAUUUUGGGCGCGGGUGUGCCCGUGGCCUAUUUUUGGCACACGGAGGCCGCCCGCAAAGUCUGGGGCCAUUCCGAGUCCGGCGGACGAACUUCGCCCACGCCCCCCACCAAGGCUAUAGCCCACCCGUUUUUUGGCCAUUUUUCCGCUGGGGGGUCUUGGCGCCCCGACCUUCGGGGGCUGAAUUUUGGGCGCGGGUGUUGCCCGUGGCCUAUUUUUGGCACACGGAGGCCGCCCGCAAAGUCUGGGGCCAUUCCGAGUCCGGCGGACGAACUUCGCCCACGCCCCCCACCAAGGCUAUAGCCCACCCGUUUUUUGGCCAUUUUUCCGCUGGGGGGUCUUGGCGCCCCGACCUUCGGGGGCUGAUUUUUGGGCGCGGGUGUGCCCGUGGCCUAUUUUUGGCACACGGAGGCCGCCCGCAAAGUCUGGGGCCAUUCCGAGUCCGGCGGACGAACUUCGCCCACGCCCCCCAUCAAGGCUAUAGCCCGCCCACCCGUUUUUUGGCCAUUUUUCCGCUGGGGGGUCUUGGCGCCCCGACCUUCGGGGGCUGAUUUUUGGGCGCGGGUGUGCCCGUGGCCUAUUUAUGGCACACGGAGGCCGCCCGCAAAGGCUGGGGCCAUUCCGAGUCCGGCGGACGAGCUUCGCCCACGCCCCCCACCAAGGCUAUAGCCCACCCUUUUUUUGGCCAUUUUUCCGCUGGGGGGUCUUGGCGCCCCGACCUUCGGGGGCUGAUUUUUGGGCGCGGGUGUGCCCGUGGCCUAUUUUUUGCACACGGAGGCCGCCCGCAAAGUCUGGGGACAUUCCGAGUCCGGCGGACGAACUUCGCCCACGCCCCCCACCAAGGCUAUAGCCCACCCGUUUUUUGGCCAUUUUUCCGCUGGGGGGUCUUGGCUCCCCGACCUUCGGGGGCUGAUUUUUGGGCGCGGGUGUGCCCGUGGCCUAUUUUUGGCACACGGAGGCCGCCCGCAAAGUCUGGGGCCAUUCCGAGUCCGGCGGACGAGCUUCGCCCACGCCCCCCACCAAGGCUAUAGCCCACCCGUUUUUUGGCCAUUUUUCCGCUGGGGGGUCUUGGCGCCCCGACCUUCGGGGGCUGAAUUUUGGGCGCGGGUGUGCCCGUGGCCUAUUUUUGGCACACGGAGGCCGCCCGCAAAGUCUGGGGCCAUUCCGAGUCCGGCGGACGAACCUCGCCCACGCCCCCCACCAAGGCUAUAGCCCACCCGUUUUUUGGCCAUUUUUCCGCUGGGGGGUCUUGGCGCCCCGACCUUCGGGGGCUGAUUUUUGGGCGCGGGUGUGCCCGUGGCCUAUUUUUGGCACACGGAGGCCGCCCGCAAAGUCUGGGGCCAUUCCGAGUCCGGCGGACGAACUUCGCCCACGCCCCCCACCAAGGCUAUAGCCCACCCGUUUUUUGGCCAUUUUUCCGCUGGGUGGUCUUGGCGCCCCGACCUUCGGGGGCUGAAUUUUGGGCGCGGGUGUGCCCGUGGCCUAUUUUUGGCACACGGAGGCCGCCCGCAAAGUCUGGGGCCAUUCCGAGUCCGGCGGACGAACUUCGCCCACGCCCCCCACCAAGGCUAUAGCCCACCCGUUUUUUGGCCAUUUUUCCGCUGGGGGGUCUUGGUGCCCCGACCUUCAGGGGCUGAAUUUUGGGCGCGGGUUUGCCCGUGGCCUAUUUUUGGCACACGGAGGCCGCCCGCAAAGUCUGGGGCCAUUCCGAGUCCGGCGGACGAACUUCGCCCACGCCCCCCACCAAGGCUAUAGCCCACCCGUUUUUUGGCCAUUUUUCCGCUGGGGGGUCUUGGCGCCCCGACCUUCGGGGGCUGAAUUUUGGGCGCGGGUGUGCCCGUGGCCUAUUUUUGGCACACGGAGGCCGCCCGCAAAGUCUGGGGCCAUUCCGAGUCCGGCGGACGAACUUCGCCCACGCCCCCCACCAAGGCUAUAGCCCACCCGUUUUUUGGCCAUUUUUCCGCUGGGGGGUCUUGGCGCCCCGAC